rnacentral:lncRNA from 1 species
UCCAGAUACAGGCUGCUUCAGGGACACGCGGCCGCCCCAUGGUUCCAGACCCUGGCACCUCUGCACCCCCAGAUCCCCAUUCACAACCUUGAGACCCCUCCCACCAACUAAGCUUUGCCUCCAGUGGAGGAAGUAGCACAUUCAUCACGUAUGUGCUUUCCACAGGUGGAAACCUGAGACACAGCAGAGCCAACACCAGAAGCGAAGCCUGUGGCUGGAGCAGAAGCAGCAGGACAGAGUCGGGCACGUCUCACAGGUGCACGGGGUGAUGGGCUCCUGGCUGCACUGCCGGAUGAAGAACUUCGAAGAGCAGAAAACCAGCAAGCGGCAGACGGCCAGGAAGAAAAUGCAGUGCAGUCAGAAACGAAAAGGGCUGGACGUCCCGCGCACCGGAAAGGCUGCCCCACUGGCGGCUCACACCCCGCUGGCAGGCACGGGGGCCAGUGCAGUCCUUUCUAAAGCAAUGUAAAGACGUUUGCCACAUUUUCAGACGUGCUCACUGCAUUGUGGAAAAACAUUGGCUCUCAUGAGGGACAACGCUGGCAACAAACGAAUGUCA